rnacentral:rRNA from 1 species
UACACACCGCCCGUCAAGCCAUGGGAGUUGGUUCUACCUGAAGACGGUGCGCUAACCGCAAGGAGGCAGCCGGCCACGGUAGGGUCAGCGACUGGGGUG